rnacentral:rRNA from 1 species
CUAUACAUGCAAGUCGAACGCGCAGCGAAAGGUGCUUGCACCUUUCAAGCGAGUGGCGAACGGGUGAGUAACACGUGGAUAACCUGCCUCAAGGCUGGGGAUAACAUUUGGAAACAGAUGCUAAUACCGAAUAAAACUUAGUAUCGCAUGAUACAAAGUUGAAAGGCGCUACGGCGUCACCUAGAGAUGGGUCCGCGGUGCAUUAGUUAGUUGGUGGGGUAAAGGCCUACCAAGACAAUGAUGCAUAGCCGAGUUGAGAGACUGAUCGGCCACAUUGGGACUGAGACACGGCCCAAACUCCUACGGGAGGCUGCAGUAGGGAAUCUUCCACAAUGGGCGAAAGCCUGAUGGAGCAACGCCGCGUGUGUGAUGAAGGCUUUAGGGUCGUAAAGCACUGUUGUAUGGGAAGAAAUGCUAGAAUAGGGAAUGAUUUUAGUUCGACGGUACCAUACCAGAAAGGGACGGCUAAAUAC